AUGCAUGUCAAGCUAACUAACUCCAACACACACACACGGACUCACGCACACACACACGCACCUACGAACCUGACGCGGCCACACACCGCCCACACACACAGGCCACACUGCUGCGUCCGGCACGUUCCGCUCGUCCCACGCGCCACCGACAAGCCUGACGAGCCCGAUGACACCAGUCCCGACCACAUACGCCGUGGCUUAUUCCAACACACACCCCCUAGGCCACGGCCUAGAGGAGUCCGUCGUCGUCGACGUUGGCGCCAGCCAAGAGAGCCUGCUCCGCCGCCGGUCCUUUCCGCAGCUGCGGGCACUCGCGCCGGAAGUGCCCGUGCUCCCCGAACUUGUAGCAGCGCCUGCGCCUGUUUCCGCCGCUCCCCGACGCCAUGCUGCGCCCGUCGUCGUCGUCCCGAGCACCGCCGUGUUGACGCUCCCGUGCUGCCCACUGCGCCGCCGUCAUGA
rnacentral:rRNA from 1 species